CGGGAAUCUGAAAUACUAAGAAAUUGCCUUAUAAAAAUAAUAAUUAGAAAAAAAAUCACACAAACAAAAUUGCAAAGUAUUUUCCCUGUAAACAUUUCAUGUCCACAGUCAAUUCAAAUGAAGGUUGGUGCAGGUUAAAUAUGUUUAUUUUGAAUUAAGAAAUUUUAUUCUGUAAGAAAUUUCUGUGUGUGUAACCAAGAGAGAAGAUAUGUAACUGAUCAUGAAAAACAGAGGUGAGAAGUAACUUUAAACUUUAGGGAGUUGAAUAAAUGCACCAACAAGAAGCCGGCAUGUGAAAGGCUCACUGUCUUGUAAGUCUCACUCUUUUUUUUUUAAUUCAGAAGGGAAGUUAGGUGAGAAGCUUCUACUCAUAUACCUGAAGACUAAGGUAAGUUUAUGUUUUAUAUAAUGACCACUUUUGAAUCUAGGACUUUAGCUGUGCUACUCUGAUUUUCACACUCUUCUAAAUAAUUAACAGAUUCUGUUGAUUUGGUGAUGUACGUCUGUGGGGAGGAAGAAAAAGAAAUGUAUGAGCUUGCUGCUUGGAAAAGGAAAGGAGCCUGGACUACAGUAUGGGAGAAGGAGGUGCUCCAUGAAAUUCUUUAAGCCCUUUGAAAUUAAAUACACUACAGAAAGAAAACAGAGCCUGGAUCCACCCUAUGACAAUAGCCUUACAGACAGUGCUAAAAAUCUGAAGAACAUGAAGAGAAAGACAAAGAACUCUUUGAUCCUUUUGAAGAUUUCUACAGGGAAUGGCUAUCACAACUUGGUUUGUCACUCAUGAACUCUUCAUCGUGUGAAGAUUUUAGUGCUAGUUAGAGGCAAAAUGUCAGAUUUCUUCAACAGUUUGAUAUCAGAUCUUUUCAAAAUUCACUUGAGCUAGUACUGCUGUUGCUCUUCAUCUCUCAUGUCUUCAUUUUGAGACUUUGACUUUUUUAUUUGUUGAAAGUGUUCUGGCCUAUUCUGGACACUUCUGACAAGACUAUCUACAGUUCAGUUCUAGCGAUUUAGCAGAAAGCCAUCAGAAAACAUAAGAAUUUUAAAAUGUGAUUUAUAUGUGCCAGAUCUGGAUUAAAGAUCUGCUUCUGCCUGUGAUAAUUCCACAUAUUCACCCUACUUUAAGACCACUCUGAGUAUAGUUUACUCUUUGGAAGUGUGCCACUAUUCAACAAAGCACUCAGUGCUCACUAGGCUAAGAAAAGAGACUUCAG
rnacentral:lncRNA from 1 species